GGCAGGCAGCUGGAGAGCUGAGUGGAGUCACCACCCACCUCCUGGUGCUGCCCUGUGCCCCGCAGGGCACAGAGCCAAGGGCAGCAGUGGAGGUGGGACAGGAAAGCUGCUCCAGCUGUGCCACACCUGCAGUCCUGCAGCACAGAGCCUUGUCCAAAGCCCAGGAGAGUCAGAAGGAAUCUUUCCAUUAACUUCACUGAUUGUAAGUGAGAUUGUGACAGAUGUACUCCCUUUCCCUUCCUCCUCAAAUAUUUUAAAUCAAACAGCACGAGCUGAUGUGUCCUUUCCUGGAGGAGGGCACGGCUCCUUCUUAGGGCUGCUCAAAUAAAUAACCCUGGGGAGCCUUCCAGGUGCCCAUAACAACUCAGGGGCAUUAAAGCUUCAGGGAAGGGGAAGUGAGGCAAGAACCACUCAAUUCCCAAUGUGGCUGAAGGGCCAGAAGGCAACAGGGCCUGCGCCAAGGAUAGAAGUUGUUUGUAGACAACAAUAAAAUCAUCUUCAGCAUGA